rnacentral:rRNA from 1 species
UACGUAGGGGGCAAGCGUUGUCCGGAUUUAUUGGGCGUAAAGAGCUCGUAGGUGGUUCGGUAAGUCGGAUGUGAAAUCUCCAGGCUCAACCUGGAGGGGUCAUUCGAUACUGCCGUGACUAGAGGUCGGUAGGGGAGUGUGGAAUUCCGUGGUGGAGCGGUGAAAUGCGCAGAUAUCAGGAGGAACACCCGUAGCGAAGGCGGCACUCUGGGCCGAUACUGACACUGAGGAGCGAAAGCGUGGGGAGCGAACAGG